rnacentral:rRNA from 1 species
GUAUAAUGGGUCAGCGACUUAAUUUCAGUAGCGAGGUUAACCGUUUAGGGGAGCCGUAGGGAAACCGAGUCUUAAUAGGGCGUAUAGUUGCUGGGAUUAGACCCGAAACCGGGCGAUCUAUCCAUGGGCAGGUUGAAGAUGCGGUAACACGCAUUGGAGGACCGAACCGACUACCGUUGAAAAGUUAGCGGAUGACCUGUGGAUCGGAGUGAAAGGCUAAUCAAGCUCGGAGAUAGCUGGUUCUCCCCGAAAGCUAUUUAGGUAGCGCCUCGGACGAAUACCACUGGGGGUAGAGCACUGUUUCGGCUAGGGGGUCAUCCCGACUUACCAAACCGAUGCAAACUCCGAAUACCAGUGAGUACUAUCCGGGAGACACACGGCGGGUGCUAACGUCCGUCGUGAAGAGGGAAACAACCCAGACCGCCAGCUAAGGUCCCCAAAUUCCAGUUAAGUGGGAAACGAUGUGGGAAGGCUCAGACAGCUAGGAGGUUGGCUUAGAAGCAGCCACCCUUUAAAGAAAGCGUAAUAGCUCACUAGUCGAGUCGGCCUGCGCGGAAGAUGUAACGGGGCUCAAACUGGAUACCGAAGCUGCGGCUGCAUACUAUGUAUGCGGGGUAGGGGAGCGUUGUGUAAGUCUGUGAAGGUGUGUUGAGAAGCAUGCUGGAGAUAUCACAAGUGCGAAUGCUGACGUGAGUAACGAUAAUGGGAGUGAAAAACUCCCACGCCGAAAGACCAAGGUUUCCUGCGCAACGCUAAUCGGCGCAGGGUGAGUCGGCCCCUAAGGCGAGGCAGAAAUGCGUAGCUGAUGGGAAACAGGUUAAUAUUCCUGUACUUCUUAUAACUGCGAUGGAGAGACGGAGAAGGCUAUGCCUACCGGGCGUUGGUUGUCCCGGGGAAAGGCUGUAGGCUGAGGUGUUAGGCAAAUCCGGCACCUUAAGGCUGAGAGUCGAGACCACUGGUCCUUUGUGACCGGGAAGUGGUUGAUGCCAUGCUUCCAGGAAAAUCUUCUAAGCUUCAGGUUAUAAGGAACCGUACCCCAAACCGACACAGGUGGUUGGGAUGAGUAUUCUAAGGCGCUUGAGAGAACUCGGGUGAAGGAACUAGGCAAAGUGGUACCGUAACUUCGGGAGAAGGUACGCCGCUGACGGUGAUGAGACUUGCUCUCUGAGCUAUCGGCGGUCGCAGUGAAAAGGCCCCUGCAACUGUUUAUUAAAAACACAGCACUCUGCAAACGCGUAAGCGGACGUAUAGGGUGUGACGCCUGCCCGGUGCCGGAAGGUUAAUUGAUGGGGUUAGCUUCGGCGAAGCUCUUGAUCGAAGCCCCGGUAAACGGCGGCCGUAACUAUAACGGUCCUAAGGUAGCGAAAUUCCUUGUCGGG